CACGCCCCUCUCCCCCGUCUCUCUCACUCUUAUGCCAUCCACUGUUCAGGCUCUGCUCGGUUAGUUAGGGAUACACACUCAGCCACUGGAACACGACAAAAAGUAUGAUAGGUUACAGAGCAUGUACAGCAAACCAGGGACUUCCACCGCUUCAGUAGGGUGCCUUUUUCCUUUUUUGCAUGCAGCAUGGAACAAUUAGAAGCCAGGGCAUCUUCUAAACAUGUUUUACAUUGCUGAACAUGAUAAAAGUUGGAUAGAAGAAAUGAGCUCUUAAAAAGGGUUGUUGUCUUGGUAGAGGAGACAAGACUGAAAAAUCUCUCUUUUCUUGUAAGCUUUCUGGAAUUAAGAUAAAGGAGGAUGCAAAUAUUCACAUGAAACAGCUUUGUUACCCUCCCACCACCAUCUGCCCAUCAUCUAACUCCAUUCUUCAACUUGACAUCAGCCUUCCACACAGACAAGAGGACGAAGAGGAGGAGAAGAGUGAAGCAGAGGUGGGGAGGAAAACAAAACAGAGAAGGAGGAGGACGAGCUGAAAGGAGGCGGGCAGCACAGUUUCAGCUCUCACGGCUGGGGAGGAGAAACUGACGGCAGCUAGAACUUGGCCACUAGUGAGAUGAAAUUUGUGGAGGCUGGAACGUUCCAGGGUACAACAUCCAACGAGAACUCUAAAACUGAAAGACGAGCCAGCCCUCUCUGGACCCCAUGCCCCUCUACAGCUGAAGGAUGAGAAGGGUCGACUUUCACCUUAGUUGCCAGGGAUGUCUGUGCACUACAGAAAGGCGUCCCCCUCAAGCAUGUCCAAUGUUCUGUUAUUCCUGAUGCUUUGCAAGAUUGGUCUGAGACGAAAACUACAGGCUUUUCCAGGGAAAAUGGUAAACACUGUCUACAGUGAUGAGGAAAAGGGAAUCCAAGACAAGGAAAGUAAAGAGGAGACGAUCUUGGCCAUGUUAGGCAUCAUUGGGACCAUUCUCAACUUGGUUGUCAUCAUCUUUGUUUAUAUAUACACCACCUUGUAGGUCACCAGCUCAGUGCUCACCUGUGCAAUCACAGCUAAAGUAUGUUGACUGAUACGAAGAUGAAGACAGGAGGAGGAAGGAUGAGGGUGUUCUUCCCUAAAGGUGAAAUGAAUCUAAGACUGUGUGAUUGCUAUAUGGCAUUCAUGCUGCAUCACUUCAGACAACUAAGACUAUGGGAAACUGAUUUGCUCCUCUCCCAUUUACAUGUAGAGUUAUGUAAAAUAUCUGGACACUUCUAACUUGUACAUAAAUGCAUAAAGCUAUGAGAGAUGUUCAAAAGAUGACACUUUUACCCUCACAGGGGAAUGAAAGAGUGCAGAGGGAGCAAGGACCCUUUUUGAAGAUAUUUUUCAGAUGUUCUUAUUAACUGAAUAAUGGAAAUCUCAUUUGCUUACAUGGGAUGAAAGAUAAAGAUGUACAGACAACAUAAAUACAGGUAUCGUAUUAGCUAUUUAUUAUUGUUUUUGAGUAAAUACUACAUCUAUUUCUAUAAGCUAUAAACACACAUAUUAAAGAAAAGUAUUUAUUAAGUAGAAUUUCUUUCUAAUUUCUAACAAAACAAACAAAAAAGACUGAUUGGUGUUUUAUUUCAUUGGGGACUCACCAGAUAAUGAAUUAUUGUACAUUCACACAGUUCAAAGUUGUUUAAUAUAAAUUUACUAAUAAUUGUCAUAAAAUGGUUGAAAGAUUAGACCAAUUAGUAGAAAAUUGUUUCAUUAUAAUUUACAAUUAGAUGUUUUUAAUAUAUCACUUCAGCAUUUAAGGGUCAUCAACACUACAAUGAAUCCAUUUAUUUAAAAAAAAUAAUUUUAUCAUUUUGUCAAAGUCUCAGCACUGCAGGCUGAACAGCAUGUUCUCCGAGGAGAUCUGAGAAUAAAGGUGAUCUACACAUUGGCAUCAGGUAGAAGCAACUAUCUACAGUAUACAGUUUAUUGAGUUCUGUCACAAAUUUCAGGAUGCACAAGUAAAACAACAGGCACAUUUACAUGAGACAUAAUCUGAUCACACUGUAGCUUGUGCAUCCAUAAAGGUUUACUGAGCUUGAGAGCAAAAAACUGUAUUUUUCAGGCACUGAUCUCAGUUUGUGCAUCAUUUUUUCAAAACAGAGUUGUGCAUAAUGACAGUUUGCCUUAAAAUGAGGAAAUUGUUACUAUAUUUCCAUUAUAUAUAAAAUUGUCAGGUUAUUACUACUUUGUGAAAGGUUUCACUACUUGUACUGUAUAUAUUAUAUAUACCUAUAAUACUACUCCAACUGUUUUUUAAAUUGAUGAAAGGACAGUUAUUGUGCAAUUUUAUACAGGUCUCAUGCUCUUUUCUUAAAGAACAUGCAAAACCUUUGGGCCCUAUUUUGAGGAUCCACGGGAUCUGAUCAAGUAUUGACGCAUGCAGUGUUCAUUUCGAUAAUUUGAAGAAAAGGAUAAAUGGUUCAAGCAUUUGUGCAAGUAACAAAAAGGGCUUACUUGAGCUCCUCAUUAAAGCAGGGGUGUUUUUUGGGCAUAACAUGCAAUUGUCCAAUCAGUGUGUAAUCACAACCCUUUUAAAAGAUGUGUCAGCUUGAAUGUUUGGUGAAUUGAUAACAUACUGACAUCAGUAAGAUUUUCCACUGAGGAAACAGAUUUGCUCGUGCAUGAAGUGAAGGCUCACGAUCGCUAUUAUCUGUUAUAAAUACAUAUAUAUUGGUGUGCACAACACCCAAUGAACACAAUGUCAUCUUAACUUUUUUACAUUUUGCAUGUCCUGUGCAGUGCAUCCCAGGGUAUAACAAGCACAGUGCAUGAGCAUUGUGCAUGCACUUAGACAGGCACACAUCACAACAGGGUCAAUAUACCCAUUAACUAGCAAUAAUGACACAGAUCUGGUUUUUGCUGGUCAGUGGGACAGUCACUUUGUUUCGCCUUCAUAAUACUAACAUGGCCAAAAUUUACCCGGACACACCUGCCAGCACGAAGUCAACAGACUGCUGCUUGGUAUAAAGGCAAUGCAAUGUGGCACAUGUCAUGAAAUUAGGAAACCCAGGCACGCUACCUAUGCCGCACGCCAUGCGUUUGUUGCAAGACAGGGCCCUUUUUAAACUGUGACUGUGAAAUCUGAGUUAUGUCCAGACCUGGGUCAGCAUUCCAUUGUUCUUGUUUUCUAUGGUGUAAAAUGGGCCUGGGUUUUGCCACACUGGACAAUGCUGUGAAUGUAAUGAUCACAAGGCAUUUAAGAGUAAUUUUUGACUAACUGAAAUGACACUGUGUCAUUUGUCUUCAGUGUUUUCCACGCCAUACCCCUGGGAGUUGAAGCUAGUUUGAACAAAAAUGCAUUCAAAAAAAUUUCUGCAUUCAUGGGUUGACCAGAAUCUCAGUCAAUAUGUUUCAGCUUGUACAAACUGAAUUGGGUCAGGUCAGGUUAUGUGACAGUUCGAACUGAACUUAGUUUUUUUUUAUGUGUAAUAAGUCUACAAAAUCAUUUCUAUCUAAUUGCAUUGAACAUUAUUUGGAAGUUAGAGAUUUGCAUUAAACGACUAGUUCAACAUUUUGGGAAAACACUGAGGUGCUGUUAGGUGCUGCCCUGCCACCACCAUGGAAUGAUGGGGUAGCAUAGUGUGCGUUGCUUCCAUACUGCAAAGUUAUGUCGGUCAACCAGGUAUACAUAUUUUUCCAUACUAAGAUUUUGGACAUACUACUUGUCUUGCACACACAUUUUAGUCUAUUACAUAGUAUGCAAGUAGGUAAUGUUGGGCGCACCCCAAGACUAGCUGUUUCCUUAUGUUUCCAGUCUGUAUACUAAGCUCAGCUAAGCAGCUGCUGGCUUGUAGCUUGAUAUUUAAUGGUCAUAUAUGAGAAUGGAAACUCUCUUCUCAACUAUUUCUUGGCAACAAAGUGAAGAACUGUAUUUCCCAAAAUGUUGAACCAGUCCUUUAAAGAAAAACAGAAUUGAAUGCAGUAAAAACGCAAUACAGUAUCA